ACACACGCUUCCUAUAUCUCUCAGUCUCUCGUUAGCCAUAAACAUAUACACUUAGUUUUUUUUGCUUGUGUUCAUUUUUUUUUCUCUGUAACCAUUUUCCAUUAUUCUUCAUUAACAUUUCUUCAAUCACCAUUUUUCUUUCAGGCUCUGAAUAUUUUUCAAUAAGCAGAUUGUCUUCUUCCUCGAUAAGAAACCGUCAUAGCGGCGAGAUCGUCUACUCAAUUAGUUUUUUCAAAAGAGUACAGAUAGAGUUCUUUGAGUUGGUGGAGUCGUCUUAGCUCUUGUAGAACAGUUGAGUCUCUAUGUAAAGAAAGUUAAAUACCUUGUUUUAAAUUUUUAUUUGCUUUGAUAAUUGAGUUGACAUGCUUAAGAUAAAUUAAAUUGAUUAAGCUUGGUUAAAAUUAUGUUGUGUUAUGGUAUGAUUGCUUAAUCUUGGUUUGAAACCUUGUGGUGUGAUUUAGGAAUAAUCUUAAUGUGGUUGCUUGUGGAAUGUUAUAUGUUUUGUUGUUUGAAAUGAUGAAAUUUACAUAAUGAUUUGUUGGCAUUGAUGUUGGAGCAUGGUGUGGUAUAAUGUUAGAGGUAUGUUUGGUUUUGGAAUAAAUUAGGGGUUUUGAUAAGUAGAAUUAUAAAGGAGUUGUUUUAGGUAGGUACUUGAUAUGUAGAGUAUGUUUAGG
rnacentral:sRNA from 1 species